UAGGAAAAAACAUUUUGGGAGUUUUUUCAGAUAUUUGAAAUCCUUUUUGAAGUUUUAUUUUUUAAAAAAGAAACUUUCUUUGAAAAUAUCACCAAUAAAUACAGCAAAACCCGUGUAAAUCGGAACCGGUUAUACAGGUUUUACUGUAUAACCGAUAAACGAUACUGAAUAUUCUUUUCCGGUUUGGCAGGUUUCCGUUUUGAACAGGUUUUCGUUAAUAUAAUCCGUUUUAUGAAGGUUCCAUUUUGUACAAAUUACUUCUUUAAAUUACUUUUUUGUCUCACUUUCCUUAGAAAUUAAAUUAAAUAGUUUAAUAAGCAUUCUAUUAAUCUUCUAAUACAAAACUUAAUCGGAUUUUCAUUAAAAAGAAAAAAAAAAAGAGUCACGCGGCUCGACGCGACGGGACGUGACUCGUCACAUCGUUCGUAAGCUCUGCGAAGGUUUUAAAUUUUUACUCCUCGUGCGAGUGGUUAAAUUGGUGAGUAAACGCAUUACUUAAUAUAUGAAUUGAGGAGUGGUGUUUAUUCUAAAUUUAUUUAUUAGUUUACGGCAAUUUUUUGAAAUAUUAAUAUAUUGAGGUGCUUGUCGCGCUUAGCGACGCGAACUCGAAUCAGAAAUGUCUACAAAAUCAGGGAUAUUAGCAAUUUAUCUGUAUUAUUUUUUCUUUAAGAACAUUUAUUGUUUUUAAAAUAUUAUUACUUUAUAGAAAUAAAAAAAGGAAUGGAUAAUUAGUUCUCUAAAUUAUGAAAUUGUUAUAUGACGCGAAGAGGAGCGGCGCGCGGCGCGAUCGAACCUGUAUAUUCUUUACAAUAAAGUGCGAAAUUUAAAAAAUAAAAUUAUAUUAUACAAUAGUAGGAAAGAAUUAGUUGUAUUUUUACAUGUUAUAUAAUAAUUGAACGAAAAUAAAUUAAACGACAAUACAGUUUGGCAAUCUUUUUCCGGUUUUACUCGAUGGCGUUGCGUCGCGCGGCGCCAAUUAUAUUAUUGACGAUACACAAACUAUUUUGUUAUUUUUUAAUAAAAAUACCCAAAACUUUUUCACAAUUCUAUACAAUAUAAUAGAAAGAAUAAAAUAAUGGUAAUAUUAUAUAAAAGUUAACCUAAUAUACCAGCGACGCGUCAACGCCAAAACAAAUUUAUUCCUAUAAAUAUCUUGUAGUUUUGGUUGAAAAAUCUAAAAAAAAAAUUACUUAAAAAAUUGAAUUAUAAUAUAAAUAAAUAAAUGAAAUAUUAUAAAAAUAACCUUUAUCGUGAAAUUCACGCCCUUAUAUAAACCAUUGUUUCAAUUUAACACGUAAUAAUUUUAAGAAAAUGUUACUUGAUAUUAUAAUUUUUAUGACCUUAACGCACGAAAUUCAUUUUCCUAGUAAAUUCGAUAAGAACAGGAAGUUUAAUUACGUCAUAUUUACCACUUCCUUAAAGUUUAUCACCUUAAAAAGCUAAAAAAAUGGGUCGCUUAUAAUUCAAUUUGAAAGUAUAAAACAUUAACAAGUGUAUAUAGGAACGAAUUUUACGUCAUAACAGACUAUGUCAAGGUCACCUUGAACUUUUACUUUCAAAAUAAUUUCUAUUUUUUGUCAUUGUUUCCGAGAAGAAGAAUCCAUAAACAAAUAUAUCUAUAGAGGUAACAACUAUGCUAGUGUUCUUGUGUAAGUUUCUAUUGAUUUUAGAAACCUAGCAAAUGGCAAAAAAGAUACGACAAAUCCUGUCGAGAACACGUGUUUGCUCUGCAUCUGCCAGGCUCUAACUAAUUGUAAUCCUCUUGAAAAAUGUGAACCUGGUGAUAAAAGAUACGGACCAUGCUACAUUACAGAAGAGUACUGGAACGAUGCCGGACGUGAAGGAGAAGACUUCAAAAUUUGUGUUAACAAUUUUGAUUGCACGAAUAAAACAAUACAAAGAUACAUAGAAAUAAAUUCUGUCGAUUGUAAUAAUAAUGGAAGACUCGAAUGUGGAGAUUAUUUUUUAAUUCAUGCUCACGGGAAGGACGAUUGUUACCAUUCAGACAUCGAAGAGACUCCUUCGUGGUUAAGGUUUCUCGAGUGUUACCUCAACCAAGUUUCUAAACCCCGGGAUGUCUUAGAAAACUUGAUUUUCAAUAGAAACGUGUGACUUAAAAGUAUUGUUUAAUCUAAAAAAAUAAAUUAAAUAGUAUUAUUUUGAAAAAUAAAAUAAUUUUUGCGUACGUUUUGUAUAUAUAAAUAAAUAAGAUAAAUUUUUAAAGCGAGAGUAGAGUAUAAAGUUGAUGUUCGGAAGUAUAAAAGCGCUGUUGAAGUGUAAGAAAAGAUGAAAAAUGGAAUAAUUUAUCUCACUCCGGAGCAGUUGUAUGAGAUAAAAUAGUUCAAUAGUUUAUCAGAAUGAAGAAAAUACAGAAAAUAGAAUUUCACAAUCAAAGAAAAUAGCUAUAACUCUCCAGUUGAGAGCUUUUGGUUGUAGAAGUAUAAGUGGGUAUCUAUUGUGAGUAUCUUUUUUCUAUUGAAUGAACUUGUCAAUACGAAGACAGGUAGGACAAAUUCUCAACCGAGUUCUUUAAAUGGAAACGUGUCGUGGAAGAGUGUUUC